CCUACGGGAGGCAGCAGUGGGGAAUAUUGCACAAUGGAGGGAACUCUGAUGCAGCGACGCCGCGUGAGUGAAGAAGUAAUUCGUUAUGUAAAGCUCUAUCAGCAGGGAAGAAAGUGACGGUACCUGAAAAAGAAGCUCCGGCUAAAUACGGGCCAGCAGCCGCGGUAAUACGUAUGGAGCAAGCGUUAUCCGGAUUUACUGGGUGUAAAGGGAGAGUAGGUGGCAGAGCAAGUCCGAAGUGAAAACCCAAAGCUCAACCUUGGGAAUGCGUUAGAAACUGCUCAGCGAGAGUUCAGGAGAGGCAAGUGGGAUUCUUAGUGGAGCGGUUGAAUG
rnacentral:rRNA from 1 species